rnacentral:rRNA from 1 species
AUUGAACGCUAGCGGGAUGCUUUACACAUGCAAGUCGAACGGCAGCGCGGACUUCGGUCUGGCGGCGAGUGGCGAACGGGUGAGUAAUGUAUCGGAACGUGCCCAGUAGCGGGGGAUAACUACGCGAAAGCGUCGCUAAUACCGCAUACGCCCUACGGGGGAAAGCAGGGGAUCGUAAGACCUCGCACUAUUGGAGCGGCCGAUAUCGGAUUAGCUAGUUGGUGAGGUAACGGCUCACCAAGGCGACGAUCCGUAGCUGGUUUGAGAGGACGACCAGCCACACUGGGACUGAGACACGGCCCAGACUCCUACGGGAGGCAGCAGUGGGGAAUUUUGGACAAUGGGGGCAACCCUGAUCCAGCCAUCCCGCGUGUGCGAUGAAGGCCUUCGGGUUGUAAAGCACUUUUGGCAGGAAAGAAACGUCGCGGGCUAAUACCCCGUGGAACUGACGGUACCUGCAGAAUAAGCACCGGCUAACUACGUG